GAUGAACGCUGGCGGCGUGCCUAAUACAUGCAAGUCGAGCGAACGGAUGAGAAGCUUGCUUCUCUGAUGUUAGCGGCGGACGGGUGAGUAACACGUGGAUAACCUACCUAUAAGACUGGGAUAACUUCGGGAAACCGGAGCUAAUACCGGAUAAUAUUUUGAACCGCAUGGUUCAAAAGUGAAAGACGGUCUUGCUGUCACUUAUAGAUGGAUCCGCGCUGCAUUAGCUAGUUGGUAAGGUAACGGCUUACCAAGGCAACGAUGCAUAGCCGACCUGAGAGGGUGAUUGGCCACACUGGAACUGAGACACGGUCCAGACUCCUACGGGAGGCAGCAGUAGGGAAUCUUCCGCAAUGGGCGAAAGCCUGACGGAGCAACGCCGCGUGAGUGAUGAAGGUCUUCGGAUCGUAAAACUCUGUUAUUAGGGAAGAACAUAUGUGUAAGUAACUGUGCACAUCUUGACGGUACCUAAUCAGAAAGCCACGGCUAACUACGUG
rnacentral:rRNA from 1 species